CAAGAUGGCGUCCCCGCGUCUCGUCAGCGCCAGUAGACAGUAGCGCUCCAUGCUGCCUCCCCUUCCAACAUGUCUAUGAGUGCGAGGCACACGUCCUGGUUAGGGAGGGAAAAGUCUCGUUUACUCAGUUCUAUGACAAACCGUCGUCAAGGUGGGAGUGUGGUCACGUCAGAGAAGGACGACAGCCAGCCUGCUGACAUCUCCCCGCUCUCCUCAUCCUCUCACGCUGCACUCGCUGGUUUUGUGGGAGAAAAUACAAGUGGGACUGAACCAAAUUGGACAAAACCACCUUGCUGAGGGGAGAGGACUGACCUGCUCCUUCUAAAGGAAGCUGUGAGACGGAACAAACAUCCCAUUUGAAAUGUCAGGGAAUCAAACCUUUGGCGUCCGGGUUGUGAGCCAUCAUGUCAUCCACGGAAAGCUUCAUCUCGAUGCUGCCUGUGAUGAUGAUGACUCCAUGCUGGCCUGCAUCAAGGUACAACUCUGCUGUCUCCCCACCUGCAUGCGUGUCACCUAGGUGGGAGUGGUGGUCUGCAUGCAGUCUGAAGGUGAGGGAAGACCAUGACUAAGACUCUCAUGACUAAAGUCGAUCAUCAUUCAUUCACAUCAAUAAUUAACACUAACGACUACUUUGCAGUUAAAACCAUUACAAUCAUCUUCAGUGCAGCUGUAUUAAACAUACAUACUAAAUAAAUCAUCUGAAGGAAAAAAAACAUUUGUAAAUACUUUUAAUAAAAACUUUGAAAAAAAAUAUAAUAAUACAAUUUAAAUAAUAAUUUAUGUGAAUUGUAAAUGAAAUCACAAAUAUUUUAAUUGAAUGUCAU